CCUGGUGGUUAUACCGAGGGGGUCACACCCGUUCCCAUUCCGAAUACGGAAGUUAAGCCCCUCAGGGCCGAUGGUACUUAGCUGGCAACGGUUCGGGAGAGUAGGACGCCGCCGGGU
rnacentral:rRNA from 1 species